UAUUUUCAGAAGUUUAAAAACGCUAUUUUAAAAUUAGUAGGACUCUUAUUACGAGCACCUAUAUAUACCCAUUAACCCUAAAUAUUUAAUGUGCCGUUUUGUUUUAGUUUGUUUCUUCCGCCUUCUUGUCUCCGUAUUCUGUUUGGAGACUUUGAAAAAUCAAGUUUGAUAUUUGUUUCCAAUAUCACAUUAUGUUAUCCAUGUAAAACCCACUAUUCCUCUUUAUCAAACCAAUUUGGUUUUCUAUUGUUAAUCAUCUCAAUUCCUUCGUGUUUUUGUCAAGACCAUAUUUAGUUAUUUUUUGUCAAAAUUUAGAAUCCACUACCGUUAUUAGUACCUGAUCAGUCGCGCUAGUUAUCGCAUGAUGAUGUAUUGUGAAAUUGUGAUAUUGGUACUAUCAUCUCGGAAGUCAAUAUUAACUGGAGCAGAUUGAUCGUGAAAGAUCGCAAUUCAAGAUGAAGGAGCUCAAAUGUUAUCGUAUAGUCUUUUAUGACAGUUUAAUACUUUUCAGUUGUAAAUAGACCACCUAGUAAUCAAGUUGUAAUAGUUUAAGUUUUGUAAGCCUUAGCACUUGACAAUGUGGUCAAGUGUGGCGGUGAUGCCUCCGAUUUAGGUGUAAGCUUCCGCAAAUUUAUUAUAAAGUCUUUUAUAUUCUUAUU